rnacentral:rRNA from 1 species
GAGUUUGAUCGUGGCUCAGAUUGAACGCUGGCGGCAUGCCUUACACAUGCAAGUCGAACGGCAGCACGGGAGCUUGCUCCUGGUGGCGAGUGGCGAACGGGUGAGUAAUGCAUCGGAACGUAUCCUGGAGUGGGGGAUAACGUAGCGAAAGUUACGCUAAUACCGCAUAUUCUGUGAGCAGGAAAGCGGGGGACCUUCGGGCCUCGCGCUCUUGGAGCGGCCGAUGUCGGAUUAGCUAGUUGGUGAGGUAAAGGCUCACCAAGGCGACGAUCCGUAGCAGGUCUGAGAGGAUGAUCUGCCACACCUGGAACUGAGACAACGGUCCAGACUCCUACGGGAGGCAGCAGUGGGAAUUUGGACAAUGGGGGCAACCCUGAUCCAGCCAUGCCGCGUGAGUGAAG